GCCACACCUCAGAGCCCAUGGAACAAGAAAAGCUGCCAGCCAAGCCUGGAGAUGGCCAAGCCCCCCAGCCUGCCUGGCAGGGGCUAUAACGUGGAGAUGACUCGCUGCAUCAGCCAUUCCAUCUUUUCACUGUCACCACCUUGUGGUGACUAUCACCUUUGGCCAGUUCCUUGUCAGGAAGGGCUCGUCUGUUCAUAACCACCUGGUCUUUAGGCACAGCUCAGGUCAGAGGUUUGCAGACUGAGAUACUAGUGGGGACAAUGACACCGUCUCCCUGCAGCGACACCCUUUAGUGAAGUGGCUGGAGUGCUCUGCACGUGGCAAGCAUUCAGACGGAACAGGCUGCUUCCUCUUAUCUGAUCUGUACGUGGAAGGUGGCUGCCAUUUUGCCCAUCACCUCCACCCCCAGCCCACCUGUGACCUGUUGGCCACUCAGAGCUCCUAAGCCCACCAUCAUCUUCUCUCCAGGAACUUCUGGGGACAGUUGUAGAGUGCAUCCCAGCUGAGGACAGAUGUAGGAGCUGGCAUGCUCGCGUCUGCAUGAGCCUUCUCUGAAGGGCUCUGCAGCUUUGCCAAACACCGCUUCCCCCCACAUCAGAGAAACCAGUGACCUGUAUCUGCGAUUUGAAGAGCGACAUCUUUCAUGGCCACGGUGAAGGGCACUGUCUGACAUAAUUGUAAGUGUGCAAUGAAGAUUUUUUUUUGAAUGAACAAAUCAUUAAAUGAACAAAAAUUUAAAAAAUAUGACUAGCCUUAAUGCAAAAGUAAGCUCAAAUAUCAUGGCACCGACGAGCUCACAAAAUCAUUUUGAUGUGCAGAUAGCCAGAAAUAAAGGCAAAAGCCAUCUGUUUUUAAAUAAAGCAGUCCUAGAUGUGGAUUAUAUUUUUGUGUUGUAAAAUGUCACCAAUGGAAAAACAAGGUAAAUAUCGACGUGUACAUAGGCACUCUUGGUAUUAUGCCUUCUUAACUAUCUGUGAAUUAAGUUAUUACAAAAUAAAGAGCUUGAUUUAGGUAAAGCAGUAAGUGCAAGCCCGAUCUGUCAGAAGACACAUCUGCCAGUCGGGGCAUCAUUCAUUGACAAGUCAAUCAGAUGGCACUGUAAGGCUGGUCAGGGCAUUUGUUUAGCUGCAAGCUGCAAAAAUGGCCAUCGAUCAAUCUCUGUAAAGUGGUGCGCCCUGGCAGCAGCAGCUCGGGGGCGGGUCAUGUACCUAAUGAACUUGUGGCUCUAAGAGGAGAGGAGGGAAAAUGGAUUUUUAAUAGCAUCUUAUGGUUAUGUGGCCUGCAUGUGGCAAGAUCUUCCCAGAAAGAGAGAUCAGAAGUGAAUGCAGAGAACACCUAUGUGACAAAGGCCUCCAUAUGACGAUCAGAUAAGGAUGUGGUGGUCUGGCCAACUUUUCAGCUUGACAGAAUGGCUCAGGGAAUAAAGUAUAAGGCUCAGCUUUUACAUGGAAACCCCAUAGACUCAAAGCUUCCAUUGAGAGAGAGGUAUGAGAGCAAGGG